rnacentral:rRNA from 1 species
AGUUGCUAAUAUUAAGUUAAGGAACUCUAUUGAGACUGCCAGCGACAAGCUGGAGGAAGGUGGGGAUGACGUCAAAUCAUCAUGCCCUUUAUGACCUGGGCUACAAACGUACUACAAUGGCCAGAUACAAAGAGAUGCGAAGCCGCGAGGUGGAGCGAACCUCAUAAAAAUGGUCUCAGUUCGGAUUGGAGUCUGCAACUCGACUCCAUGAAGUCGGAAUCGCUAGUAAUCGCGGGUCAGCAGACCGCGGUGAAUACGUUCCCGGGUUUU